UACGGGGGGGGCAAGCGUUGUUCGGAAUUACUGGGCGUAAAGGGCUCGUAGGCGGCCAACUAAGUCGGAUGUGAAAUCCCCAGGCUUAACCUGGGAACUGCAUCCGAUACUGAGAGUCUUGAGUCCGGGAGAGGUGAGUGGAACUGCGAGUGUAGAGGUGAAAUUCGUAGAUAUUCGCAAGAACACCAGUGGCGAAGGCGGCUCACUGGCCCGGUACUGACGCUGAGGUGCGAAAGCGUGGGGAGCAAACAGG
rnacentral:rRNA from 1 species